AAUUUGUGGAACAUUUUUACUUGAAGAAGCUAACAACACUUAGGAUACAUGCAAUCAAAACUGCAAACUAACAUUUAACGAAUGUUCUCCAACAAAUAGUUGUGUUUUCAACUAUUGAGAAUAUGCAAUAUUUUGUCAUUGUUUUAAUGAUUUUCGCGUAUAGUGAAGCCAACUCAUGCAACCCAUGUCGUUGUUAUAGGACUAGGAUAGACUGUUCGCAUAAAAAUAUAUCUUUGAUCCCAAAUUUUAGUUAUUUUGAAUCUGUCCGUUACAUAGACUUC
rnacentral:lncRNA from 1 species